rnacentral:rRNA from 1 species
UAUUGCGUACUGGGGGAAACCCUGCCGCAGCAACGCCGCGUGAUUGAAGAAGGCCUUCCGGUUGUACAGAUCUUUAAUCGGGGACGCAACAUGACGGUACCCGAGGAAUAAGCUCCGGCUAACUACGUGCCAGCAGCCGCGGUAAUACGUAGGGAGCAAGCGUUAUCCGGAUUUACUGGGUGUAAAGGGCGUGUAGGCGGGCCUGCAAGUCAGAAGUGAAGUCUGGGGGCUCAACCCCCAAACUGCUUUUGAAACUGCGGGUCUUGAGUGAUGGAGAGGCAGGCGGAAUUCCCAGUGUAGCGGUGAAAUGCGUAGAUAUUGGGAGGAACACCAGUGGCGAAGGCGGCCUGCUGGACAUUAACCGACGCUGAGGCGCGAAAGCGUGGGGAGCAAACAGG